CGACAGCGACAGUGACCAAGAGGAAAAGGCAUCUGAUGCCAGCUCUGAAAAACUGUUCAACGCUGUUACAAAUAAAGAUAAGGAGUUAGGAGUCAGUACACUAGCGGAAAAUGCCAACCCUGGUGCUAGGGGCCCAGCCGUCCCGAAGAUAUCGGGACUAGAAAGGAGUCAAGAGAAGAGCCAGGACAGCAGCAAAGACCCCCUCCUCGAGCCCACGGUGCCUAAAGACCC